rnacentral:snoRNA from 1 species
AUGCAUCUCUGACAGGCUUUGAGCAGUUAAUGUCUGCUGCUAAGGUUUCUACUACAGAUGCAAGAAAAAGAAGGUCCUCGUGCUUUCUGCCGUCUGGUUGUGGCAGCCAAGAUUGAAUGGGGGAAUACAGGA